CCAUAAAUAUGUCUACAAAUAAAAAUAUUGAUUAUUGCCUCAUAAGAAUUGAAUGGGGGGGUUGGAGGAGAGGCAGAAAGAAGAGCUAAUUUGUCUGUGGCUAGGGGGCGCAAUCUGGACGGUUCUGCCAGGGGUGCAAGAUCACCCAGCUAUGGCGCUGCUUGGAUGCCCUCUUUAUCUAUCUUUUUGUUGGGAUAGAUUACAAAGGCAGGAAGCGUAUAGUUUGACUACUUCCUACAACUUCCUCUCAGCUGACCAUCUCCAGAGUGCAAUUCUCUUUCUCCAACAUUGUCUCUAUAGAAAGUAGCAAGUGAGUUAUCUGCAUACUCAUCCACAAUUGAGAACCUUGGAUCUGAAGGGGUUAGGUCACUUAAUAAUGAAAAAAUAAUAAUACAUUGGUCUUACAUUCAAACAAAGCCCAAAGGAAAAAUCAUAUGACUAUGUUUAAAAAUGUGUAGGGAGCCUGUGAAGAUCAGUGCUCAACCAGGAAGGGUGAACUGAUCACCCUUUUCUCACUCCUGGACUGUUCUUCCACCUUUCGUGUUGACAUCAUCUGAUUCUGAUUCUAAUAUUCUCCUAGCCCCUUCCUCACAUUCUGCAGGGUUACCAUAGAAACAGCAAGAAACAACUUUGCAUCAUCGCUAUUCCGUUGCCCACUUCUUACCGGACGCUCGAUCAGUAAGCAGUGCGAGGAGUUCUCUCAGCACUCUCUAUUUGUGUUACUUCAGCAUUCCUAUCAACAUGGCAGGAGUGGUUGCAAACAGAAAUGAACAAGAUCCAGGCCUCUUUGCAGAGAAUAUACUUUUAUGCACCUCUGACUGUAUCACAGCAGGCAAAAUACUACGUACAGAAUUGGAACAGUUCUCCAGGGUCUCAGGAUUGCAAGUUACUUUUAAGAAAGCAGAGACUUGGGUGAAUGCGUGAGAUGGAGGAGGACCCUGGAACCUAUCCCUGAGGGUUUCAGAAAAAGCCUGCCUGCCUGUGGGAAGGAAGAUAGGGGAGACCUGGCCAUAAAAGGGAUAGGCAUACCUAACGCCCCAAAAAAGAACCCCCCAAAGAGAAAAUUAUACAAGGCCAAAAAUGAAGCUGAAAAGGUGGAGAAAGGGGGCACCCAAGG